UCCUUAUUUUAAGAAGGAAAAUAGUGAAAGACGAUUAGGAUUAUUUAUUUAACGCAACUAACAUUUGGGAAUGUUGAGAAAACGCAAAAUAAUGAAAUCGUGGGUGCCGCCUCUGGCAUUCGUGAUUUUGUAACUUCGGAUCGGGCAGUUAUAUAAAAUAAGCGAUUGAGCUACGAAGAGUGAAAUCGCAGGUGCGGAAUGCGAAUGUGCUCUUCCAUACUGCGCAUUUUAGAUUAUGGAUCCUUCGCUCGUUAGUCAUUACGUACUAUUUAUUAUUCGCACGCUUUGAAGGCCGUACCAACGUUUAUAUUCGUCAUAUUGCAUCCGGAAACUGAUGUUCUUAUAUUCAGGUAAACAAAAUUUCACGCUGGAGCAGCGUUAAACGAUUUGAGAAAAGCAAAACUGUCCGUGUGAUUUUCGCAUUGGUGAAUAUUAAAUACAUAUUUAACACUAUAUUUUGACUGGAAGUUCAUUAAAGCUAAUUAAUGCACGAUAUUCGUAUGAUAAUAAAGGAAGUAUGUGUUACAUUCUUAUGAGAGGACAAAGUAGGUUGUUACAUAAAGUAUUCGCACAUAAAAGUGUGAAGAACUUUUGCAUAAAACGAAAAGAAACCAAUCAAAUUUGUUACGUCAGAAAUACAAUCUUUGUCAACGUAGACGUAAUACGAUCUAAUCUAACAUAGCAUGCUUCACUUGACUGUGAGAAGCAAUUAUCAUUUCUUAUACGAUGUGAGUAAGACAAUUGCAUAAAUGGUGGGAAACGUGCCCACGGGAUUACACAGACGUAAACAAUUGCACAGAUUCUUCACAUGAAGAAGCAAUCGUUUAGUGUCAUGCAACUAUGACAUAAUACGUGAUCCAAAUAUACAUUUUCUCUACUUUGAAUACUUAAAAAUAUACAAAUGUUAUUAUACAUAAUACGUGUAAAGUG